rnacentral:rRNA from 1 species
CCUACGGGAGGCAGCAGUGAGGAAUAUUGGUCAAUGGUCGGAAGCCUGAACCAGCCAAGUAGCGUGCAGGAGGACGGUACUGCGGAUUGUAAACUUCUUUUAUACGGGCACAAAGAGCGUGACGUGUAGGGGUUUGCAUGUACCUUAUGAAAAAGGACCGGCUAAUUCCGUGCCAGCAGCCGCGGUAAUACGGAGGGUGCGGGCGUUAUCCGGAUUUAUUGGGUUUAAAGGGUGCGCAGGCGGAAGGUCAAGUCAGCGGUAAAAUCGCGGGGCUCAACCCCGACGAGCCGUUGAAACUGGCUUGCUAGAGUGGGCGAGAAGUAUGCGGAAUGCGUGGUGUAGCGGUGAAAUGCAUAGAUAUCACGCAGAACUCCGAUUGCGAAGGCAGCAUACCGGCGCCCAACUGACGCUCAAGCACGAAAGCGUGGGUAUCGAACAGGAUUAGAUACCCCUGUAGUC